ACGGGUGAGUAAUGCCUAGGAAUCUGCCUGGUAGUGGGGGACAACGUUUCGAAAGGAACGCUAAUACCGCAUAUGUCCUACGGGAGAAAGCAGGGGACCUUCGGGCCUUGCGCUAUCAGAUGAGCCUAGGUCGGAUUAGCUAGUUGGUGAGGUAAUGGCUCACCAAGGCGACGAUCCGUAACUGGUCUGAGAGGAUGAUCAGUCACACUGGAACUGAGACACGGUCCAGACUCCUACGGGAGGCAGCAGUGGGGAAUAUUGGACAAUGGGCGAAAGCCUGAUCCAGCCAUGCCGCGUGUGUGAAGAAGGUCUUCGGAUUGUAAAGCACUUUAAGUUGGGAGGAAGGGUUGUAGAUUAAUACUCUGCAAUUUUGACGUUACCGACAGAAUAAGCACCGGCUAACUCUGUGCCAGCAGCCGCGGUAAUACAGAGGGUGCAAGCGUUAAUCGGAAUUACUGGGCGUAAAGCGCGCGUAGGUGGUUUGUUAAGUUGGAUGUGAAAUCCCCGGGCUCAACCUGGGAACUGCAUCCAAAACUGGCAAGCUAGAGUAUGGUAGAGGGUGGUGGAAUUUCCUGUGUAGCG
rnacentral:rRNA from 1 species